rnacentral:tRNA from 1 species
GAGGGUGGAGCUAGGUGGUGGAGUACUUGCCUACCAUGCAUGAAGCCCUGGGUUUGAUCCCUAGCACCACCA